UGGGGAAUCUUCCGCAAUGGACGAAAGUCUGACGGAGCAACGCCGCGUGAGUGAAGAAGGUUUUCGGAUCGUAAAACUCUGUCUUUUGGGGCGAACGUGAGUAUGGUGAACAAUCAUAGUCAGUGACGGUACCAAAGGAGGAAGCCACGGCUAACUACGUGCCAGCAGCCGCGGUAAUACGUAGGUGGCAAGCGUUGUCCGGAAUUAUUGGGCGUAAAGAGCGCGUAGGCGGGAUAGUCAGUCUGUUGUAAAGUGCGGGGCUCAACCCCGUGAUCGCAAUGGAAACAGCUAUUCUUGAGUGCAGGAGAGGAAAGUGGAAUUCCCAGUGUAGCGGUGAAAUGCGUAGAUAUUGGGAGGAACACCAGUGGCGAAGGCGACUUUCUGGACUGUGUCUGACGCUGAGGCGCGAAAGCCAGGGGAGCGAACGGGAUUAGAUACCCCGGUAGUCCUGGCCGUAAACGAUGGGUACUAGGUGUGGGAGGUAUCGACCCCUUCCGUGCCGGAGUUAACGCAAUAAGUACCCCGCCUGGGGAGUACGGUCGCAAGAUUAAAACUCAAAUGAUUGACGGGGUCAUAGCUGUUUCCUG
rnacentral:rRNA from 1 species